rnacentral:rRNA from 1 species
GGUGAGUAAUAUAUAGGUAAUAUGCCUUUUGGUUUGGAAUAACCCCGCGAAAGCGGGGCUAAUACCGAAUGAUGCAGCGGCUCCGCAUGGAGAUGUUGUUAAAGCUUCGGCGCCAAAAGAUUAACCUGUAUCCCAUUAGAUAGUUGGCGAGGUAACGGCUCACCAAGUCUGCGAUGGGCAGCUGAUCUGAGAGGAUGAUCAGCCACACUGGAACUGAGACACGGUCCAGACUCCUACGGGAGGCAGCAGUGAGGAAUAUUGCGCAAUGGAGGAAACUCUGACGCAGCGACGCCGCGUGAAGGAUGAAGGCCCUCUGGGUUGUAAACUUCUGUAGAGAGGGAAGAAUUUUUCGCUUCGCGAAAUUGACGGUACCUCUAAAGUAAGGGUCGGCUAACUACGUGCCAGCAGCCGCGGUAAUACGUAGGACCCAAGCGUUGUCCGGAUUUACUGGGUGUAAAGGGAGCGCAGGCGGAUUUUCAAGUCGAUGGUGAAAUCUUGCGGCUCAACCGCAAAACAGCCGUCGAUACUGUUAAUCUUGAGUGUGGAAGAGAGUGGCGGAAUUCAUGGUGUAGCAGUGAAAUGCGUAGAUAUCAUGAAGAACACCGGUUGCGAAGGCGGCCACUUAGUCCAUUACUGACGCUCAUGCUCGAAAGCGUGGGGAUCAAACAGGAUUAGAUACCCUGGUAGUCCACGCCCUAAACGAUGAAUACUCGGUGUCGGGUCGCAAGAUUCGGCGCCUAAGCAAACGCAUUAAGUAUUCCACCUGGGAAGUACGAUCGCAAGGGUU